GACGAACGCUGGCGGCGUGCUUAACACAUGCAAGUCGUACGGUAAGGCCCUUUCGGGGGUACACGAGUGGCGAUCGGGUGAGUAACACGUGAGUAACCUGCCCACAACUUUGGGAUAACGCUAGGAAACUGGUGCUAAUACUGGAUAUGUGCCCCUGCUGCAUGGUGGGGGUUGGAAAGCUCCGGCGGUUGUGGAUGGACUCGCGGCCUAUCAGCUUGUUGGUGGGGUAGUGGCCUACCAAGGCGGCGACGGGUAGCCGGCCUGGGAGGGUGACCGGCCACAUUGGGACUGAGAUACGGCCCAGACUCCUACGGGAGGCAGCAGUGGGGAAUAUUGCACAAUGGGCGCAAGCCUGAUGCAGCAACGCCGCGUGCGGGAUGACGGCCUUCGGGUUGUAAACCGCUUUCAGCAGGGACGAAGCUUUUUGUGACGGUACCUGCAGAAGAAGCACCGGCUAACUACGUG
rnacentral:rRNA from 1 species